rnacentral:rRNA from 1 species
AGUGAACGCUGGCGGUAGGCCUAACACAUGCAAGUCGAACGGCAGCACAGUAAGAGCUUGCUCUUACGGGUGGCGAGUGGCGGACGGGUGAGGAAUACAUCGGAAUCUACUUUUUCGUGGGGGAUAACGUAGGGAAACUUACGCUAAUACCGCAUACGACCUACGGGUGAAAGCAGGGGAUCUUCGGACCUUGCGCGAUUGAAUGAGCCGAUGUCGGAUUAGCUAGUUGGCGGGGUAAAGGCCCACCAAGGCGACGAUCCGGAGCUGGUCUGAGAGGAUGAACAGCCACAGUGGAACUGGGACAGGGUCCAGACUCGCAGGGGAGGGAGGAGGGGGAAAUAUUGGACAAUGGGCGGAAGGCUGAUCCAGCCAAACCGGGGGGGGGAAGAGGGCCUUCGGGUUGUAAAGCCCUUUUGUUGGGAAAAAAAAGCAGAAGGUUAAUCCCCCGUUUUUCUGGCGGUACCCAAAGAAUAAGCCCCGGCUACCUUCGU